rnacentral:rRNA from 1 species
GUCCACGCCGUAAACGAUGGAUACUAGCUGUUGGGAGCAAUCUCAGUGGCUAAGCGAAAGUGAUAAGUAUCCCACCUGGGGAGUACGUUCGCAAGAAUGAAACUCAAAGGAAUUGACGGGGGCCCGCACAAGCGGUGGAGCAUGUGGUUUAAUUCGAUGAUACGCGAGGAACCUUACCAAGGCUUAAAUGUAGAUUGACAGGACUGGAAACAGUUUUUUCUUCGGACAAUUUACAAGGUGCUGCAUGGUUGUCGU